CUGGCAAGAAGACUUACAAGUUAAUAUUCCUUUGACUGAAUGGAAACAAAUUUUUACUGCUCACAUAGGGCUAACCACCAGUACCGCCCAUCUUGAAGCCGCACGGAAAAUUCUUUACAGGUAGUACUUGGUACCAACACGUCUAAACUCUAUGUUUCCUGCAAUGCCAGACCAGUGUUGGCGAUGUCAUAAAUGUAAAGGUACUAUGUUACAUGUUUGGUGGUCGUG